GAUGAAGAACGCAGCGAAAUGCGAUAAGUAAUGCGAAUUGCAGAAUCCGUGAGUCAUCGAAUCUUUGAACGCACAUUGCGCCCCUUGGUUAUUCCGAAGGGCAUGCCUGUUCGAGCGUCAUUAUCACCCCUCAAGCCCUGGCUUGGUGUUGGGCGACGUCCCCUUUGGGGACGCGCCUCGAAACGCUCGGCGGCGUGGCACCGGCUUUAAGCGUAGCAGAAUCUUUCGCUUUGGAAGUCGGGGCCCCGUCUGCCGGAAGACCUACUCGCAAGGUUGACCUCGGGUCAGGCAGGGAUACCCGCUGAACUUAAGCAUAUCAAUAAGCGGAGGA
rnacentral:misc_RNA from 1 species